rnacentral:lncRNA from 10 species
CGGCCAGCUCCCACACUGUGGAGUGUACUUUCGUUUUCAAUAAAUCCCUGCUUUGGUUCUUUUGUUGCUUCAUUCUUUCUUUGCUUUGCUGGGCGUUUUGCCCAGUUCUUUGUUCAAAAUGCCAAGAACCUGGACAACUUGCAGUCACAACCCUCUAUCAGUGACAUACCUUGGCAAGCCAGCCAGGAGGAAAAGUAGGCCCAAAGUUUGGGAUUUUUCUCCUUUCCCCUUGUAAAUCUUUCUCUCUCUCUCUUCCUUUCCAACUCAGUGCCCUUGGUGGACAGCACCUAAGCAUGGAGACUUCAUGCAAGUUUCUGCCCAGGGUCACUAUCUAGUGAAACUGAAAGGUUUCCACAUGGAAGCACCUGACCGCCACCGCCCAGUUCAGUCUUUCAGCAACAGUUUCCUAGUAGCUCCUGGUAAUUGAGGGAAACUGACCAGGACCGCUCUUUGGCAUUCUCUGAAGACCAAGAAGCAAACAGGGAUAGAUGCCCUGCCUGGAAGGGGAAAAGACUCUUUUCUAUCCUUUCUGGUUAUACUCCCAGAACUCUACGUGUGACACAGUUGGAUGUGGCAGCUCAUCCAGGGCGAAUUCACACACGUUUCAGAGACCAUCAAGCUUCAGAUAAUCAAGCAACAAGGUUUCCAGCCAGCUCCAGGUGAAGGCACCACCCCACCGCCAUCAAGAAGCACCCUGUCUCCACUAGACAGAGUGGGCUGAGAGUUCCGGGAUCUCCAACAGGUAGGGACUAUGCCCCAAGUCAGCAUGAAGCAGUUAAAGAAGAAAGACCUUCAGUCCCUCUGUAUCCCAUAAAGAUUUAUGGGGAUCAUGUCUCUCAAGGGAAUGAUGAGGCAGGAUAAUAUGGUCUGGAGGCAGGGAACCUAAGGUAUUUCACGCUGACUUCCUAGAACUGAACUGAAAGGAAAAUACUAACUUUCCAGGCUUAAGUAACAAAAGGACCAGAGGCUACUCCCUUUGACCUUUUCUGCACUGCAGAUGGGAAACUGGCUGUCUGCAACCAAUCAGACUGAUUGUGGGCCGAGUCUUCAUUUGCAUAGAAGUAUAACCCUGUAACUUCACCCUAGCCUCUGCUUGGUUGGUUUUUGCAACCAAUCAGAUGUUUGCACAAGAGUGUGACCUUUGUAACUUCACUUCAGCCUCUGGUUGUCUGCUUUCU